rnacentral:rRNA from 1 species
CCAGACUCCUACGGGAGGCAGCAGUGAGGAAUAUUGGUCAAUGGACGAGAGUCUGAACCAGCCAAGUAGCGUGCAGGAAGACGGCCCUAUGGGUUGUAAACUGCUUUUAUAAGGGAAUAAAGUGAGAGUCGUGACUCUUUUUGCAUGUACCUUAUGAAUAAGGACCGGCUAAUUCCGUGC